rnacentral:rRNA from 2 species
UGGGGAAUAUUGCGCAAUGGGGGGAACCCUGACGCAGCAACGCCGCGUGAAGGAUGAAGGUUUUCGGAUUGUAAACUUCUUUGGCAGGGGACGAAGUAAGACGGUACCCUGAGAACAAGCCACGGCUAACUACGUGCCAGCAGCCGCGGUAAUACGUAGGUGGCGAGCGUUGUCCGGAAUUACUGGGUGUAAAGGGCGCGUAGGCGGGGAUGUAAGUCAGAUGUGAAAGCCCAAGGCUUAACUUUGGGACUGCAUCUGAAACUAUGUUUCUUGAGUGCUGGAGAGGAAAGCGGAAUUCCCAGUGUAGCGGUGAAAUGCGUAGAGAUUGGGAGGAACACCAGUGGCGAAGGCGGCUUUCUGGACAGUAACUGACGCUGAGGCGCGAAAGCGUGGGGAGCAAACAGG